rnacentral:rRNA from 1 species
AAAACGACUCUCGGCAACGGAUAUCUCGGCUCUCGCAUCGAUGAAGAACGUAGCGAAAUGCGAUACUUGGUGUGAAUUGCAGAAUCCCGCGAACCAUCGAGUCUUUGAACGCAAGUUGCGCCCGAAGCCAUUAGGCCGAGGGCACGCCUGCCUGGGCGUCACGC